rnacentral:rRNA from 1 species
AUUGAACGCUGGCGGCAGGCCUAACACAUGCAAGUCGAACGAGUGGCGGACGGGUGAGUAAUGUCUGGGAAACUGCCUGAUGGAGGGGGAUAACUACUGGAAACGGUAGCUAAUACCGCAUACCAUCGGAUGUGCCCAGAUGGGAUUAGCUAGUAGGUGGGGUAAAGGCUCACCUAGGCGACGAUCCCUAGCUGGUCUGAGGGGAUGACCGGCCACACUGGGACUGAGACAAGGUCCAGAACCCGACGGGAGGCAGCAGUGGGGAAUAUUUGACAAUGGGCGCAAUCCUUAUGCAGCCAUGCCGCGUGUAUGAAGAAGGCCUUCGGGUUUUAAAGUACUUUCAGCGGGGAGGCGUUACCCGCAGAAGAAGCACCGGCUAACUCCGUGCCAGCAGCCGCGGUAAUUC